rnacentral:rRNA from 1 species
CCUACGGGAGGCAGCAGUGGGGAAUAUUGCACAAUGGGGGGAACCCUGAUGCAGCGACGCCGCGUGGGUGAUGAAGUACUUCGGUAUGGAAAGCCCUAUCAGCAGGGAAGAAAAUCACGGUACCUGACUAAGAAUCCCCGGCUAACUACGUUCCAGCAGCCGCGGUACUACGGAGGGGGCAAGCGUUAUCCGGAUGUACUGGGUGUAAAGGGAGCGUAGACGGCGUGCCAAGUCUGGUGUGAAAGGCCGGGGCUCAACCCCGGGAUUGCAUUGGAAACUGGCAGGCUGGAGUGCAGGAGAGGCAAGCGGAAUUCCUAGUGUAGCGGUGAAAUGCGUAGAUAUUAGGAGGAACACCGGUGGCGAAGGCGGCUUGCUGGACGGUAACUGACGUUGAGGCUCGAAAGCGUGGGGAGCAAACAGGAUUAGAUACCCUGGUAGUC